AUUAUGGUACCCUGGUUUCUGUACUAUUUGUCUUGUUGUAUCUGGUUGUGAUCAUAAGAAUCUGAGGAGGAAGACGUGAAGAUGGCAAACGAGACUGCUCAAGUUGGGAAUGCAAGCAUAAACAAGAGCUGAAGUCAGAGACGAUGCAACUGAAACAACUAGAAUAAGUGGCAACUAUAAAAUAUGCUUGGGUCCUCUUCGUACCUCUCAACUAUCCAGAUUUUUGCCUCAUACAUUUGGUCUGUUCCUCAUGCAACUUGUGGUUUUUCUGGCAAAUCAGUAAGGACUGAAGUCACUAAAUGACAAACAUUUGAAUUUAUAUCCUUCAGAAAAUGCAUGCCGAUGAAAAACCUACCUGUAAGAACAAUUAAAUUUUGUCCCUAUUUUUUGCCCUUUG